AUGACAUGGAAAAAUAACUCUAUUUUGGCACAAAGCUUCAAAAGCAGGCAGCUUCCUCUCCCACAGUCAGAAUGCUCAGGGUCACUGAACCACUGUUUCUCUUCACAAAGGUGAGCUAGCUGCCACCUCCACGUGGCCUCCAGAGUCUCCACCUGCACCCUUGUGCUCCCCUGCCACUCCAAUGAUUCAAGACAAGGCGGGCAAACCCUCCUAGAAACAUCCCGGGCACGGGCAUCCUUUCUCAUAAGGCACAGCCAAGCCAAAUGCUCACGUUGUGCCAGUGAGUCAGCCACAGAGCAAAAGAGGGUUUGUGGUUAGUCUCCUCUAUCUGGGUCAGAACCAGAGAGCAGGCUGGAUGCCCCCUGCUUGCUCGGUAAGCCUGCCCAGCCUGAGUCAGUGCUCGCAGCUGAUAGUGCAAUGCUUGCAGAAACAGGAGAGAGCCCGGUCUUCACUGGGAAGCACAAGAGGCCAAGACAAGUUCCAAAGUGCCUCACUCGAAAGGGAACCCCGUCCCCUGGAGCUAGGGUGUACCACAAAGCUUUGGCUGAGUCUUGGGCUGAACAGCGUCUCUGUUCAGCAAACUAACCAGCAUUCCCUACAGCACAGCCCAAGGCAGACAAGAGAAUAGAAGAGGGCUGGAAAACAAAAAAUAAGAACCUUGGCCCACUCCUGUCCCUGUAACCUCAGUCGUCAACACAGAAGCCUGGCUUUACUCUAAAGACUGGAAAUAUACAAUACCAGAUGCUCUGUCCACUGUUGAGCCCCAGGAAUGGAAGGGCAGAGAGCAUUUCUUCCUGUAUUAACUGAGUAAAUGGAGGAUAAAGGGGUUGGGCUGGACUAGAGGCAUCUUUGUCUUUUGAGCCAUUCUUCUCAGUAGAAAAAAAAGCUGAUGGAAGAUCACUGUAGUUCACAUUCCCAGACCCAAGCACCUACUCUUUGGAAAUGACUGUUGGGUUAGUUUUAAUUCCACAGGUCGUCAGAUGCCUGCUUUAUAGCUGAUGAUCAAAACCAACUUUUAUCUUUCUAUUCUAAUUGUUUUCAAUGGAUCUGAUCCAUACCAUAACCCUACACAAGGCUGGAUGGGGUUCUUAGGCCAAGGGCCCCAGUAUAUGUGUGGAUGUGUAGCGUGGGAGGGCGGGGAGUAAGGAAUACUUUUUUCAAGGUUCUAAAGCUGAAUUCAAAUGACGCAUUAAUGACCCAGAAACUCAGAUCUGAUCGAAUCUGAAUUUCUAACAGGCCUUGCUUUGUAGGUGUACUGACAACUUAUCUGGGGGCCUUACAUCUUUUUUAAUCGGUGUUACGUCCGAGCCUGCUCUGCUCCCUCACUCCCUCUGCACUCCCUCUGUGGCGUUCCUUUGCCCCUGAGAGCCUGCAGAAGUGGCUGGUAGAAGGGGGGGGCCUGGCUGGAGAAUUAUCAGUAUGCAGGAUUCCUUUCUGGGCUUUGUUUUGGAAACUUUCCUUAGGGCUGUUUUUAUUAUUAAGUGCCCACAUUUGACGGAAGGUGGAAGGAAUUUGAAUGUAUUUGAUUUAUAAUGUUAUUAUUAUUAUUUUUUUAGAUUAAAAGAUGGUUGUAGCAUUUAAAACGGAAACCUUUUCUCCUGGUUAGCUAGUAUCCUGAGUGUAUUCUCUGUAAGUGUAGCUCAAAUGGGUCAGCGCGAAGAAAAGUUAAAGAAAGCACGAUGUCAAGGUUACACGGGUGGUUAAGGCCAGGGCCUCUCCUACCACUGUGCCACUGACUUGCUAUGUGACCCUGGGCAAGUCAUUUAACUAUAAUGUGCCUCAGUUUUCCUUCUGUUAAAAUGGGAUAAUAAUACUGACCUACCUCAAAGGGCAGUUUUGAGGCGUGACUAAUGCUUUUUAUAAAGCAUUUUGGGAUCCUUCAGCAGAGGAAUUCUCUUAAGUCCUGAGUAUUUUUAUAAUAACAGUAUCCACCAUGAACUGUGUCCACCAUGAACCCUGUGUCCUGGAUGCUGUCAUUAAUCUAUAUGGUUCUCUCUGAGAAAUUGAAUAAACCCAAUAGAUAAGUGGUGGAUAACUAGUCAGAUAGAAUCUGAGAAUGCAUAAACUCAUUGCCAUGGAAACAUACACAGGAUACCUUUUCCUUGAUUGGGUGGGAUUUUUUCCCCUUUUUAUGUGGGAUAGUAGUUAUUUGUGGCCUAAGAAUAAUUUUGGAAUAAUUUCUAUUAAUAUCAACUCUGAAGCUAGUUGUACUGAUCUGAGAUUGUGUUUGUUCAUAAUAAAAGGGAAGUGAAUCUGA